rnacentral:rRNA from 1 species
GAUGAACGCUGGCGGCGUGCCUAAUACAUGCAAGUCGAGCGAACGGACGAGAAGCUUGCUUCCCUGAUGUUAGCGGCGGACGGGUGAGUAACACGUGGAUAACCUACCUAUAAGACUGGGAUAACUUCGGGAAACCGGAGCUAAUACCGGAUAAUAUUUUGAACCGCAUGGUUCAAAAGUGAAAGACGGUCUUGCUGUCACUUAUAGAUGGAUCCGCGCUGCAUUAGCUAGUUGGUAAGGUAACGGCUUACCAAGGCAACGAUGCAUAGCCGACCUGAGAGGGUGAUCGGCCACACUGGAACUGAGACACGGUUCAGACUCCUACGGGAGGCAGCAGUAGGGAAUCUUCCGCAAUGGGCGAAAGCCUGACGGAGCAACGCCGCGUGAGUGAUGAAGGUCUUCGGAUCGUAAAACUCUGUUAUUAGGGAAGAACAUAUGUGUAAGUAACUGUGCACAUCUUGACGGUACCUAAUCAGAAAGCCACGGCUAACUACGUG